AUUGAACGCUGGCGGCAGGCCUAACACAUGCAAGUCGAACGGUAACACAAUACAUGUUUCCGUUUCCCUGACGCGUGUCGGGCGCGUGUGUAUUGUCUGUCAAACUCUCCUUUUGAGGGGGAUAUCUCCUGGAAACGCUUGCUAUUACCCCAUAUCCUCCCUAGACCUGAGAGGGGGACCUUCUCGCCCCUUGCCCUCUUAUAUGCGCCGAUGUGGGAUUAGCUAGUAGGUGGGGUAAAGGCUCACCAAGGCGACGAUCCGUAGCUGGUCUGAGAGGAUGAUCAGCCACACUGGAACUGAGACACGGUCCAGACUCCUACGGGAGGCAGCAGUGGGGAAUAUUGGACAAUGGGCGCAAGCCUGAUCCAGCCAUACCGCGUGUGUGAAGAAGGCCUUCGGGUUGUAAAGUACUUUUGGUGGGGAUGAAGAGAAGAAGGUUAAUACCUCGGUGUAUUGACGGUACCCAAAGAAGAAGCACCGGCUAACUUCGUG
rnacentral:rRNA from 1 species